rnacentral:rRNA from 1 species
AUUGAACGCUGGCGGCAGGCCUAACACAUGCAAGUCGAGCGAGUGGCGGACGGGUGAGUAAUGUAUGGGAAACUGCCCGAUAGAGGGGGAUAACUACUGGAAACGGUAGCUAAUACCGCAUACCAUCGGAUGUACCCAUAUGGGAUUAGCUAGUUGGUGGGGUAACGGCUCACCUAGGCGACGAUCCCUAGCUGGUCUGAGAGGAUGAUCAGCCACACUGGGACUGAGACACGGUCCAGACUCCUACGGGAGGCAGCAGUGGGGAAUAUUGCACAAUGGGCGCAAGCCUGAGGCAGCCAUGCCGCGUGUAUGAAGAAGGCCUUAGGGUUGUAAAGUACUUUCAGCGGGGAGGCGUUACCCGCAGAAGAAGCACCGGCUAACUCCGUGCCAGCAGCCGCGGUAAUAC